CGCGGGAUUAGAGUUUGAUCCUGGCUCAGGACGAACGCUGGCGGCGUGCUUAAUACAUGCAAGUCGAACGAGAUCCAUCCAGUGGCAACACUGGUGAAGAUCUAGUGGCGAACGGGUGAGUAACACGUGAGGAACCUGCCCCGAAGACCGGGAUAACUCUCCGAAAGGAGUGCUAAUACCGGAUACCCCCACCAGACCGCAUGGUCAGGUGAGGAAAUGGAUUCCGCUUCGGGAGGGCCUCGCGGCCUAUCAGCUUGUUGGUGAGGUAACGGCCCACCAAGGCAUCGACGGGUAGCUGGUCUGAGAGGACGAUCAGCCACACUGGGACUGAGACACGGCCCAGACUCCUACGGGAGGCAGCAGUAGGGAAUCUUGCGCAAUGGGCGAAAGCCUGACGCAGCAACGCCGCGUGGGGGAUGAAGGCUCUCGGGUUGUAAACCCCUUUCAGUGGGGACGAAAUUGACGGUACCCACAGAAGAAGCCCCGGCCAACUACGUGCCAGCAGCCGCGGUAACACGUAGGGGGCAAGCGUUGUCCGGAUUUAUUGGGCGUAAAGAGCUCGUAGGCGGUUCGGUAAGUCGGGUGUGAAACCUCCAGGCUCAACCUGGAGUCGCCACUCGAUACUGCUGUGACUAGAGUCCGGUAGGGGAGCGUGGAAUUCCUGGUGUAGCGGUGAAAUGCGCAGAUAUCAGGAGGAACACCAGCGGCGAAGGCGGCGCUCUGGGCCGGAACUGACGCUGAGGAGCGAAAGCGUGGGUAGCAAACAGGAUUAGAUACCCUGGUAGUCCACGCCGUAAACGUUGGGCACUAGGUGUGGGACCCUNCUCACGGGUUCCGUGCCGUAGCUAACGCAUUAAGUGCCCCGCCUGGGGAGUACGGCCG
rnacentral:rRNA from 1 species